CCGUCAUGCCCUUAGAUGUUCUGGGCCGCACGCGCGUUACAAUGGCACGUAAAGCGAGUGCUGGCAAAAAAGGCGUAACCGGGGCCGAAAGGCCCUGGUAACCCUUAGUCCCUGCCUUGACUGGGACAGAUCUUUGCAAUUAUUGGUCUCCAACGAGGAAUCUAGUAGCGCAGUC
rnacentral:rRNA from 1 species